GAUGAACGCUGGCGGCGUGCCUAAUACAUGCAAGUCGAGCGAACGGACGAGAAGCUUGCUUCUCUGAUGUUAGCGGCGGACGGGUGAGUAACACGUGGAUAACCUACCUAUAAGACUGGGAUAACUUCGGGAAACCGGAGCUAAUACCGGAUAAUAUUUUGAACCGCAUGGUUCAAAAGUGAAAGACGGUCUUGCUGUCACUUAUAGAUGGAUCCGCGCUGCAUUAGCUAGUUGGUAAGGUAACGGCUUACCAAGGCAACGAUGCAUAGCCGACCUGAGAGGGGGAUCGGCCACACUGGAACUGAGACACGGUCCAGACUCCUACGGGAGGCAGCAGUAGGAAUCUUCCGCAAUGGGCGAAAGCCUGACGGAGCAACGCCGCGUGAGUGAUGAAGGUCUUCGGAUCGUAAAACUCUGUUAUUAGGGAAGAACAUAUGUGUAAGUAACUGUGCACAUCUUGACGGUACCUAAUCAGAAAGCCACGGCUAACUACGUG
rnacentral:rRNA from 1 species